AUUGAACGCUGGCGGCAUGCUUUACACAUGCAAGUCGAACGGUAACAGGGUGCUUGCACCGCUGACGAGUGGCGAACGGGUGAGUAAUGCGUCGGAACGUGCCGAGUAGUGGGGGAUAACGCAGCGAAAGUUGUGCUAAUACCGCAUACGUACUGAGGUAGAAAGUGGGGGACCUUCGGGCCUCACGCUAUUCGAGCGGCCGACGUCUGAUUAGCUAGUAGGUGAGGCAAAGGCUCACCUAGGCGACGAUCAGUAGCGGGUCUGAGAGGAUGAUCCGCCACACUGGGACUGAGACACGGCCCAGACUCCUACGGGAGGCAGCAGUGGGGAAUUUUGGACAAUGGGCGAAAGCCUGAUCCAGCCACGCCGCGUGUCUGAAGAAGGCCUUCGGGUUGUAAAGGACUUUUGUCAGGGAGGAAAUCCCUAGUGCUAAUAACACUGGGGGAUGACAGUACCUGAAGAAUAAGCACCGGCUAACUACGUGCCAGCAGCCGCCGUAA
rnacentral:rRNA from 1 species